CCUACGGGGUGCAGCAGUGGGGAAUAUUGCACAAUGGGCGAAAGCCUGAUGCAGCAACGCCGCGUGAAGGAAGAAGGCCUUCGGGUCGUAAACUUCUGUCCUUGGGGAAGAAGAACUGACGGUACCCAAGGAGCAAGCCCCGGCUACCUACGUGCCAGCAGCCGCGGUAAUACGUAGGGGGCAAGCGGUAUCCAGAAUUAUUGGGGGUAAAGAGUACGUAGGUGUCAACCUAAGCGCAGGGUUUAAGGAAAUGGCUCAACCAUUGUUCGCCCUGCGAACUGGGAUGCUUGAGUGCCGGAGAUGAAAGCGGAAUGGCUAGUGUAGCGGUGAAAUGCAUAGAUAUUAGGAGGAACACCAGUGGCGAAGGCGGCUUUCUGGACUGUAACUGACACUGAGGUACGAAAGCGUGGGGAGCAAACAGGAUUAGAUACCCGGGUAGUC
rnacentral:rRNA from 1 species